rnacentral:pre_miRNA from 1 species
AGUGGGAUAGCUGGGUCUAAUGGUGGUUCCAGUCCAAGUUUUCUGAGGAAUUUCCACCCUGCUUUCCAGAGUGGUAGCACCAAUUUGCAUUCCCACUAGCAAU